GAUGAACGCUGGCGGCGUGCUUAACACAUGCAAGUCGAACGGUGAAGGCGGAGCUUGCUCUGCUGGAUCAGUAGCGAACGGGUGACUAACACGUGAGCAAUCUGCCCCUGACUCUGGGAUAAGCGCUGGAAACGGCGUCUAAUACUGGAUACGAGCUGCGAAGGCAUCUUCAGCAGCUGGAAAGAACUUCGGUCAGGGAUGAGCUCGCGGCCUAUCAGCUUGUUGGUGAGGUAACGGCUCACCAAGGCGUCGACGGGUAGCCGGCCUGAGAGGGUGACCGGCCACACUGGGACUGAGACACGGCCCAGACUCCUACGGGAGGCAGCAGUGGGGAAUAUUGCACAAUGGGCGAAAGCCUGAUGCAGCAACGCCGCGUGAGGGACGACGGCCUUCGGGUUGUAAACCUCUUUUAGCAGGGAAGAAGCGAAAGUGACGGUACCUGCAGAAAAAGCGCCGGCUAACUACGUG
rnacentral:rRNA from 1 species